rnacentral:misc_RNA from 1 species
AACUCUCCAACACAUUCUUCUCAAUAGAUCAUACAUUGCAUUCCAAAUUCUUCGAUUCUCGGCGUCAUGCGCAUAAGCUUCAGGUGAAGAGUACACAAAAUAACCACCUGGUCUGAGCAAUCUGUCAAGUUCUAACAGAAGAAUGCCAUCUCUUUGGAGCCAAUCAAUUCUACAGCGUGAACAAUGUGCCAACUCGAAUGACCUGCUAGGAUAAGGUAGCCUUUUGGUUCCCAAGACUCCUAGCGUAGAUGGGAUUCCCCUUUCCAAAGCAAACUGUAUCUGAUUCUCAUGUACAUCAUUAGGAGCAAGUGACAUAGCUAUAAUAUCAUGGGAAAGAAGAUAAGCCCCAAAACUAGCAACACCACAGCCAACAUCAAGAACAUUUCUUAUGUUUCCACCAUUGCUGAGCUUUUCACCAGGCAAUUUGAGCAUCCCUGCAAUUGCUGCAAUAUAUAUGUCAGCUCCAUAAUGAAAAUGUGUUCCUCCGCCAGGGAAUUUUAUCUUGUCUCCAUCCACAAUCAUCCAGUUUUGGUCCGACUUUUCCUGUGCAAGAUGUGUAUGGGGUAUGUUUGCUUUCCACACUUGGUCUCUACUAGCUGGCCAUCUAAUUGGGAUCUUGUAACCAGCUGGAGGUGGGAUAAGACAAUUGAAACGACGUUCAGGAGGAGGACAAUGUCUCUCAUAAUGCUCCAUAACAGUCAAAUUGAGCCUCAAUCUCAAUUGAUAUAUCAAAUUUCUGUCAAGGCAGGGUAUCAACUCCGAGUAGCUCAUAUCACAAACAGGAAUACUUUUAGGAACUUCUAGUUCUUGAUCUUCCAUAUCCAUAUCCAUGCGGCCAUGGUAAGAAAUCCCAGUAACUGGAUCAGAACCAUCAUCAAUAGCUAAAUGGUCACGCGCUAUAGGAAGACCAGGACCCAUAAACGAACAAUUAUAAAGACACACCAAACCCAAGAACACAAUCAUCCCAAAUAAAACAUAUUUCAGCAGCUUGGGUCUGUGAGACAACUCCUUCUUUUGCUUCAUUUUAACAAAAAAACAAAAAAACACCCACUUCAAGAUUUCAGCUUUACUCAACUGGGGUUCUUGAAAAAACACUCAAAUCCCAAGUAAGAGAUGCAGAUCCAUUUCUGUCAUAGCAAGCAAAGAAUUAAGACUGUUCAGUACCCAUAAAAGGAGUUGCCAAGAUUCACUUUUUUCAAUUUCAGUGUGUUUUUAGGAGUCAGUAGAAGGAACAUGUGGGGAUUUUGGAUGACUGGGAGUUCAGCUCAGUGUGGGUUGGCUACUGUUUGGUGCCGCUUUUAGGA